UACGUAGGGUGCAAGCGUUGUCCGGAAUUAUUGGGCGUAAAGAGCUCGUAGGCGGUUUGUCGCGUCUGCUGUGAAAACCCGAGGCUCAACCUCGGGCCUGCAGUGGGUACGGGCAGACUAGAGUGCGGUAGGGGAGAUUGGAGUUCCUGGUGUAGCGGUGGAAUGCGCAGAUAUCAGGAAGAACACCCGUGGCUAAGGCGGCUCUCUAGUACGGUACUGACGCUGAGACGCGAAAGCGUGGGGAGCGAACAGG
rnacentral:rRNA from 1 species